rnacentral:rRNA from 1 species
CCUACGGGUGGCAGCAGUAGGGAAUCUUUCACAAUGGGCGAAAGCCUGAUGGAGCAACGCCGCGUGCAGGAUGAAGGCCUUCGGGUUGUAAACUGCUUUUAUAAGCGAGCAAUAUGAUGGUAACUUAUGAAUAAGGAUCGGCUAACUACGUGCCAGCAGCCGCGGUCAUACGUAGGAUCCGAGCAUUAUCCGGAGUGACUGGGUGUAAAGAGUUGCGUAGGUGGCAUAAUAAGUAGCUAGUGAAAUCUGGUGGCUCAACCAUUCAGACUAUUAGCGAAACUGUUAAGCUCGAGACCGUUAGGGGUAACUGGAAUUUCUAGUGUAGGAGUGAAAUGCGUAGAUAUUAGAAGGAACACCGAUAGCGUAGGCAGGUUACUGGGACGGUUCUGACACUAAGGCACGAAAGCGUAGGGAGCAAACGGGAUUAGAUACCCCAGUAGUC